AUUGAACGCUGGCGGCAGGCUUAACACAUGCAAGUCGAGCGGAGCGAGGGUGCUUGCACCUUAGCUUAGCGGCGGACGGGUGAGUAAUGCUUAGGAAUCUGCCUAUUAGUGGGGGACAACAUUCCGAAAGGAAUGCUAAUACCGCAUACGCCCUACGGGGGAAAGCAGGGGAUCUUCGGACCUUGCGCUAAUAGAUGAGCCUAAGUCGGAUUAGCUAGUUGGUGGGGUAAAGGCCUACCAAGGCGACGAUCUGUAGCGGGUCUGAGAGGAUGAUCCGCCACACUGGGACUGAGACACGGCCCAGACUCCUACGGGAGGCAGCAGUGGGCAAUAUUGGACAAUGGGGGCAACCCUGAUCCAGCAAUGCCGCGUGUGUGAAGAAGGCCUUCGGGUUGUAAAGCACUUUAGGCUGGGAAGAAGGGGUGAUGUUUAAGAGAUGUCAUCUUUGACGGUACCAGCAGAAUAAGCACCGGCUAACUCUGUGCCAGCCGCCGCAGUAAUAC
rnacentral:rRNA from 1 species